AACAAUUCUCAGGGCGGGGUGAAACUCCCCACCGGCGGUAAAUAGUGCCGUGAGCCGUUCUCACCCCCACUAAAGCCCGCGAGCGCCCGAACGCAAUUUCGGGGUCAGCAGAUCUGGUGACUUAGCUUGUCUCGUUAUGGUUAACGCCUAUCGAGCGCUACUAUUCCAGAGCCGACGGUAAUGGACUGUUUGCAAACAUUGCAACGGUACUGAGUCCGGAUGGAAGAGAAUGUAA
rnacentral:ncRNA from 1 species